rnacentral:lncRNA from 1 species
UAUCAGAGUCUUGCAGUUCUGAGUGAAUCCUACGAAAAACCAACCAAUCGGGGCUCGGGGUGGGUCCGUGAAGGUUUUGUUACUUUAAUUUCCGAGGCAAAACGGAGAAUGGAAAAACGAAAAAGUUCAUUCACAUAUGCUAUGUAAGCUGGUUGCUGGCACCUGCAGGCCUGUUUGAAGGACAACUGGACAGAACAUAUCAGAAUUCUUGGAUUUCAGCUGAGACUCUCCUUCCCCAUCCUUCAAGGAAAGCUCCUUCUUUACACUUCCUGUUUGGCAUGCUGCCCUCAAGAUUUGACUCUUUGAAAGCCCUUUGUUAACAUAGGGAGAGUCUGGUAACAUCAAAAGGGUGGGGAACGGAACCAUAUUUCGGUAAUCCAAUCAGUUGAAAAUAUCCGUUCGUACUUAAAGAAUAUGAUGUCAGAUCAGUUGUCGUCUGAGACAUUAUUACUGAUGAUAGGAUGACAUUAACUGUAUCUUGGAAGGUCUACACAUUCUAGUUAUCAGAUUCACAUGGAAUUGUUGUGCAAUUUAAAUGUUUAAAUAUGAAGCUAUUUGUGAAAAGAUUAAAUGUAAUUUUAGAUUCUAAAUGAGAAAAUUGUUUUCAUAAAAGUAAACUCUGCUCACUCAAAGGCCCCGCCCAAGUGAACAGACAUUGGUUGUGAACUAUGAAACACGCUCUUCUCUCCACCACUACAAAAGCCCCUUGACGAAAGUCAAUUUAUGUUCCCGACGACGUGAGGACUGAUGUCCGUACGUUAAAAGGUCUAAUACCAACUACAGAACUAAGCCAACCUCAGCAUGAGCUCUGGUUGCGUAAGGUUGAACGACAACAACCUAACAAAAUUAGCAAUGUGUUCCCG